GGGGGUUAGUCUUUAUAAAGACGUAAGGUUGUCAACCUUAAGAAGCUAUAGUUGUAAGUAAUAGCACUCCCU
rnacentral:tRNA from 1 species